UGGGACGUAGAAAGUGCUGGGUGAUUGC
rnacentral:piRNA from 1 species